AACGAACGCUGGCGGCAUGCCUAACACAUGCAAGUCGAACGAAGGCUUCGGCCUUAGUGGCGCACGGGUGAGUAACACGUGGGAACCUGCCUUAUGGUUCGGGAUAACGUCUGGAAACGGACGCUAACACCGGAUGUGCCCUUCGGGGGAAAGUUUACGCCAUGAGAGGGGCCCGCGUCCGAUUAGGUAGUUGGUGGGGUAAUGGCCCACCAAGCCGACGAUCGGUAGCUGGUCUGAGAGGAUGAUCAGCCACACUGGGACUGAGACACGGCCCAGACUCCUACGGGAGGCAGCAGUGGGGAAUAUUGGACAAUGGGGGCAACCCUGAUCCAGCAAUGCCGCGUGAGUGAUGAAGGCCUUAGGGUUGUAAAGCUCUUUCGCACGCGACGAUGAUGACGGUAGCGUGAGAAGAAGCCCCGGCUAACUUCGUGCCAGCAGCCGCGGUAAAAC
rnacentral:rRNA from 1 species